CCCGGUGGUUAGCUAAACGGCCGCAAUGAGUAGUUGUGCUAAGGUAGCGUAGUAAGUUGCCCUUUAAAUGGGGGAAGGAAUGAAUGGUUUGACGUAGAAAGUUCUGUCUCUUUUUUAUACAAUGAAUUUUUUUUUCUAGUGAAAAGGCUGGAUAAUAUAAAUUAGACGAGAAGACCCUGUCGAGCUUAAUUAAGCAUUUUAAAAUUGAAUUUCUAUGUUAAAAUUUAGUUGGGGCAACUGAGGAGUAAAAUUAGACUCCUUUAUUGGUAUAAUGAUCCAGAAAUUUUGAUUAAGUGAAAAAGCUACCGUAGGGAUAACAGCGUUAUCCUUUUUGAGAGAACAAAUUGAAGAAAGG
rnacentral:rRNA from 1 species